rnacentral:rRNA from 1 species
AAAUAACUACGAGUAAAAACUUGAAAUUUAAAAGACUUGACGGUACUUCACAACAACCUAGAGGAGCCUGUCCAAUAACCGAUAAUCCACGAUUCACCCCACCCGUUUUUGCCAAACAGUCUAUAUACCGCCGUCGCCAGCUUACCUUGUGAAAGAAACAAAGCAAGCCAGAUAGUACCACACUAACACGACAGGUCGAGGUGUAACAAAUAAACGGGUCAAAGAUGGGCUACAUUUUCUUAAUCAGAAAAAACGAAUAAAGUAUGAAACAACAACCUGAAGGAGGAUUUAGCAGUAAGAUAAAGACAGAAUACUUACCUGAAACUAACGCAAUGAAGUGCGU